rnacentral:rRNA from 2 species
CGCGUGAGUGAAGAAGGUCUUCGGAUCGUAAAACUCUGUCCCUUGGUGAAGAAAAAAUGACGGUAGCAAGGAGGAAGCCCCGGCUAACUACGUGCCAGCAGCCGCGGUAAUACGUAGGGGGCGAGCGUUGUCCGGAUUUACUGGGCGUAAAGGGUGAGUAGGCGGUUAUAUAUGUCAGAUGUAAAAGGCUAUGGCUUAACCAUAGUUGGCAUUUGAAACUGUAUGACUUGAGUGCAGGAGAGGUAAGUGGAAUUCCUAGUGUAGCGGUGAAAUGCGUAGAUAUUAGGAGGAACACCAGUGGCGAAGGCGACUUACUGGACUGUAACUGACGCUGAGUCACGAAAGCGUGGGUAGCAAACAGGAUUAGAUACCCUGGUAGUCCACGCUGUAAACGAUGAGUGCUAGGUGUUGGGUAGCGAUACUCAGUGCCGAAGUAAACACAAUAAGCACUCCGCCUGGGGAGUACGGUCGCAAGACUGAAACUCAAAGGAAUUGACGGGGACCCGCACAAGCAGCGGAGCAUGUGGUUUAAUUCGAAGCAACGCGAAGAACCUUACCAAGGCUUGACAUCCCCUUGACCGGCACAGAGAUGUGCCCUCUCCUUCGGGAGCAAGGGUGACAGGUGGUGCAUGGUUGUCGUCAGCUCGUGUCGUGAGAUGUUGGGUUAAGUCCCGCAACGAGCGCAACCCUUAUCCUUAGUUGCCAGCAGGUGAAGCUGGGCACUCUAGGGAGACUGCCGAUGAUAAAUCGGAGGAAGGUGGGGAUGACGUCAAAUCAUCAUGCCCCUUAUGUCUUGGGCUACACACGUGCUACAAUGGUCGGUACAACGGGCAGCGAAAGAGUGAUCUGAAGCAAAUCCCAAUAAACCGAUCCCAGUUCGGAUUGUAGGCUGCAACUCGCCUACAUGAAGUCGGAGUUGCUAGUAAUCGCGAAUCAGAACGUCGCGGUGAAUGCGUUCCCGGGUCUUGUACACACCGA